UUUAUUGAGAGUUUGAUCCUGGCUCAGGACGAACGCUGGCGGCGUGCCUAACACAUGCAAGUCGAGCGAUGAA
rnacentral:rRNA from 1 species